rnacentral:rRNA from 1 species
GUAAGUAUAGUAAGGGCGGACGGGGGAUCCCUUGGCAGUCGAGGGCGAUGAAGGGCGCGGCCAGCUGCGAUAAGCCCCGGGGAGCCGCUGAGCAGGCUAUGAUCCGAGGAUGCCCGAAUGGGGAAACCCACUGGACCGUUGAGGCCCAGUAUCCAGAGCCGAAACACCCAAGUAGGCUCUGGAGGCAAACCCCGUGAAGUGAAACAUCUCAGUAGCGGGAGGAAAAGAAAUCAACCGAGAUUCCCCUAGUAGCGGCGAGCGAACGGGGAACAGCCCAAACCACGUGGGUGUAAGGCCACAGC